GUGAAUCAUCGAAUUUUUGAACGCAAAUUGCACUCUCUUCGGAGCGUAUGCGUGUUUGUGGGUGAGUAUUAAUAAAAAUAGAUGUGUUGGUUCUUUUUUACGUUUCGGAGUUUGGGUCAUCUUAAUAUACCUUUGGUUUUAAGAGGAUUAAAAUUGAAUUUUGUUGCGCAUUUUAGAUGUACAUAAAUUUUUUUUUUUAUUAGUAUGUCUUAAUGCUCAAAAUCCGAUU
rnacentral:misc_RNA from 1 species